UGCUGUCCCGUUCUUUUUACAUCACCCAAGCUGUGACAUCAGGCCGUCGACUUUCACUGGCAACACCGUAGCCCAGAAGAGAAAGGCGAGUUGAGAUGAGGGUAAACUCCUUCAGAUCAGCUGUCUCAGAUGUUGAUCUUGACCCGGCUGUCAGUUCUCGGAGGAUCACUGUGGAUGAAGCACAUUAACAGUUCUCCUGGAAAAGCCGUCAAGUGCCAGCACGCUCUCCCUUUACCCUGGCAGCUGAAUAGAUUCCAGAAAAUCCUGAAGGAGGAUGUCCGACCAUCUGUUCAUGCCCUGAAACUCAAGUAUGCCUGGAUUAUAGGCUACCACAGAACAAUGAUCAGAAACACACCAGCAAGUCCACCUCUGAAUGGCUAAAAACCAAAAUGAAGGUUUCGGUGUGGCCUAGUAAAAGUCUGAACUUAAAUCAAAGAUUAAGAUGCUUUGGCCUGACCUUAAACAGAUCGUUCAUGCUCAAAAACUCUUCAGUGUGUCUGAUUUAAUUAUUUCUGGAAAGAAUAGUGGGCCAAAAUUCCUCCACAUGGGAUGUGAAAGACCCAUUGUCAGUUAAAAGAAGUGCUUGAUUGCAGUUCUUGCCGCUACGGUUGGCACAAACAUGUCA